ACUGUGUGUGCGGUUCUGGUGCUUAGCUCGAUCGGAAGCAUUGCUGAACGCCUUGCUGCAUCCCGGAUACUCGCAAGUGUAUGGUUUCUCGCCGGUAUGUGAUCGCAGAAUUUCAACCUUCUAUAUCGACUAGAUUCGUUGACGAUUCACAGCAUGUAGGACAACUUGAGAGCUACUGUACGAUUCUAAUCGUACUGUGCUGAGACGCUAAUGGGAAUCUUCUCAUGAAACGAGUGUGAGGUGAACGAUAGAAUUUUAAUCUUCUAUAUCGACAGGAUUCGUUGACGAUUCUCAGCAUACAGGAUAAUUCGAAAGCUAAUGCAACGAUUCUAAUCGUGCUGUGCUGAGAUUCUAAUGGGAAACGAGUGUGAGGUGAACGAAAGAAUUUUAACCCUCUAUAUCGACAUGGUUCGUUGACGAUUCUCCGCAUACAGGACAAUUGUAGAGCUAGUGUUAAAAUUUUAAUCGUGCUGUGCGGACGCACUAAUGGGAGCUUCUACUGAACGAGUGUAAUCGUAAUCGAUAGGUGAGAGCAGUAUUAUGAUGAACCAAAUGGCGCAGCUGUAGACGAUGAGAGUAGCACAAGCAUCAGCUUAGGACAGCGUGCAGUCGACGACAGAUUCCUAAUAUCGGUUGUACCUAAAGUUCAUGAGGAGAGUUAUGAAGCCGGUUCAUUAAUCAGCUACCAUGUGAGGUGUUCAAACACGGAGAAGAGCACUUCACUGAGUAAUUACGAAGAUUUGGGAGGAGAUUAACGAAAAAUUAUAUGGAGGGAGUCUCAUUUAAAAAAAGGAAGUUCAGUUGGACUACUGAGCAGUAACAUUGCUGAGCGCUACCUAGGAAUAUCUCCUAAAUUCUUCCCAGCAUUCCACCAUUAGCAAGAGAGUUCGAUAGGUGGGUUUUACUGAUAAUCGUACCAUUACGUCAAAUUCGGCAAUUCAUUUGAAAAUGUCGCGAAUACACCUGUUUAUAGAUUGCAAAACCGGAUAUGAUACAUCAGCUAUUUCAUAAAAGGACGAUAUCCGGUUCCUGGAUUAACUGAAGCGAUUUUCCAAAGUGACAAUGGUUCAAACGAUGUGGUAUAUCCGAGUAUCAGGAACCUACUCGAGUUCUUUUGAAUCUUGGAAAAGGAUACGGUAUGGUCUACUGUUCACAAUCGCUCUGGAAGGUUGGUGUUAAAAAAGCGUGUAUAUUCACAAGUGGUAGCGUCGUCGACCACAUUGUUAUUGUGGCCCGUCACUUUGAGACGAUGGUAUUGACAUUCAUUCGAUUGAAGACUGAAGUAAAGUGGAUUUAACUCUUCAAAAAUGCGUCGAACAAAAUGCAUGAACGCAAUAGCUUCGCCUGGCAACGAUAUCGAGGUGGUUGAUUAAGUCGUGUAAUUAGGGUUCACUGGUGACCACCGGUAAUGAGAGUAGAAGAGCAAUUCAUAGUCGUAUUAUGGCAGGUAAUCGUGCCUACUUUGGUUUCAGAAAAACGCGUUGAGUAAUCAAGUACGCUACUGCACGAAGUCUAAAAAACGUGUAUUACACGAUUGUGGGCGGAGGACUAACGGGCCGUUAGUACUCUCUGUAAAUGGAAGAAGGAAUGUGAAGACAAAUUACAACAGUUGCUGGAAGAAGUGUAAAUUGGGUGCUUGCUGUGGCUUGUCGUCAGAAAGGCGGACGCCAACCCGAUAAAAAUGGUUCUUGAAACUAAUCCGACAGGUAUAAGAAGGAAAGGUGUGCUUCGAGCGAAAAAUUGAACGGGAUCCGAGCAGUCUUCAUACUCUGCGAGUCAUGGACCGAGUGAUCUAGAGACAAAUUUUGAUACAGCUAAAACAGCACAACUUCAGACCGAAUGGUAAGGUAAGUCAUUCUUGAAUUUGUGGUUUCGUGGAUUUUGGUAUUACUAGAUUUAAGGAUUAUUUCCUCCAGUUGGACGUUCCAGCCGUAUUGAAUAUCUGAGUCCUUUUAAACAUGAAACCUAAUUUGUGCUACUCCUGAACCUUUAUUUUUUGGAUUCCUAUGAUUGGUUUAUUUUUAAAUUCCUGAGUCCGUGAAUUUUUCAAAAUUGUGGAUUUAAUCCAGUUUUGGAAUUCAUUAAUUUCUGAAUCCGGAGAUAUCUGCAUAUGAGAAUCUUUGAUAUUUGAGCUUUUCGAUUGAAUCAAUUAAUUGUAGAUUACUGAAAUGAAAGAAUCAUUGAUUAACAUUUCAAUUGAUCUCGGUUAUUCGUAUAUUCUGUACUCCAGGGUUACUGGAACAAUGGAUUUUUUUGUUAGAGGAAACUUUGCCACUGCGACCACUAUUCAAGUUAUCUUUCGUGGCUGUUUGCUGUACAUGUUACAAAUUAAUGAUGAUGGGUUGACAUAGCUAAAUCGGACGCACAACCCCGUUCCUGUUCCAUGUUUGCUUUAAUACUGUCCGGACAAGUUGCUUUCCUCCCUCGGCAAAAGAACGUUGCAAACGGGUAGACUCCAUUGGAAUCAAAAUAGUACUGUAGAUUACUUGCUUCAGGGCAUUUUAGAGUCUUUCCUCUCGCAUUGUGGCAGGGAUACUGGCCAUCAGUUCGGCUAAGGCCACCUGUAUUCGCUCGGCACAAGGUAUAAAAGUGUCCGUUUUGGUUAGGUCUUGCAACGAGUCAAGCAAAACUUUGAUAUAUCUUGUCAUUAGAUCAAUUCUCCUUUUGACCUCAUCGGAGGGUGGUAACUGAGGCUGACUACCACUUCUAGUCGUUGUAGUGUUCAAAUCUGUACCAGCGUUGUUCGUGAUGGCACCGCCAGCAGCGUUGACGGUACUGGUACCCAGCGAUGUCAUUGGGUACAAGCUUUGUGUGAUUCGCGCACGAUUCUCGUCUCGGGGUAGCUGUCGUGCCUCAUACAUACUUACCGGACGCUUGAAGUAUUGUCGACCGUCCGAGACGGGCUCCAGUUCCUCGACGUCUACAGCUGUUGUAGAACCGUUCGGGUGACUGUCGAUUCGUAGCAGAAUUUCGGAUUCUCUCGAGCCCAUGUUUGACUUAGCUGACAGUUCUCGCUGGUCAUUUUCCGAACCAACACACGCAGCUCACUAAUGGUCGCUUCUUGGUCCUGCGUCUUCUGGCGAAGCGUUCUGACUGCAGCAUUCGAGACGAAACUUGGUGGUUAUUUAUUCGCGAGGGUCUUUUGCGCUACCGGAGCUAAUGCUGCGUAAUUAUCAUCGGAUGUAACUGCAUCGUAUAGCGUUUCAUCUUCAGACAGGUUAGACUCCAUAACAGAUGCGGCAGCGGUCAUUUUAAACCGUGUCAAGCUUACCGACAGUGGGCAUGGACCGGACGCAGAUUAGCCGUCGAUGAUCAAUUCAGCAAAUUCCUGAUGACUGAAGCAAGUUAGCUUUAGCCCCCCCCCCCCCCCCCCUGAUCUCGCUUCAGUUUCUCGACGAUCAACCCCAUCGUAGAGAUCCAUCAGCAGCUGUUCAAACAUUCGAUUCAGAAGUAAUUGAAACUUACAAAACGACAAAAUGCAGUUCACCAACUGUCAAAAUACUCUUUGAGGCGGAAUUCCGGACAAACCGUUAUUAGUUGAUCCCGGUUCACGUACAGUCUACGAAAGAGAGAACUUUUCUCUAUUGUUUAUUAUCAACAGCCGUGAUUGGCAAGUUACGAUUUGUCUGGAAUUUCCCCUUAAAUUUUGACAGUUGGCUUAUAUGCCGUAAUCAUAGGUUUGACGAGAAGUUUGUACAAUUAUGCAGAUUUCAACCCGGUCGACAAAACUUUUCGUAGUCUAACAUCUCAUCAGCCCACAUAAAAGUCAACACAGCCCAAACCCGUGUGAGAUUGUUAUGAAACUCCCGAAGAACUCUUCUGCGAACGGAAGUCGCAAAUCCUAACUAACGCACCGGCGAAUCGGAGAAAGACAAUCUCUAAUUAACCUGAACUCACCAAAAGGCACAAAAUCACAUCAGCUAUUAGUCUCGCGACAUGAUUUCCGAUUCCACGCAGAUUAAAUCUGUUCGAUUGUGCUGCGCGGUAACCAACCAACGGAUCGAUCGAUCGUUCAGGGAACGAGUUUCCCCUUCGUGGUGCGCGGUGGAGCUUCCCAAACGAACGUGACAGCAGCAGGGUGGAAAUAAUUGGAUCACAUGGAUACGCGAUCAUCAGUUCCGCUGAAAGACGGCAGCAGCAGCAGCAUCAGCGCACGAGAGCAAGUUCCACAGCGAGAGAUGAAGAUAAGUGGAUUGAUGAGAAUGUAAAUAAUGAGCGAGUCCUCCCUUCGGACAAACUGGGAACUCUUCUGGUUUACAAUCACGGGCGGUAGAUGAUUGACUUGUGGACUGCUCGGACCCAAAAGAUUCGAUGAUGGUGAAAUAAUGUCUUCUUCUCCGGCGGGUGUGUCGGUGUGUGUAUGUUAACCUAUAAUUAAAGCUGGUUUUGAGCCGUCGCAGUCGCUGGAAUGACAAGGUACGUGGAAGUGGGGUCGAGAGGAACGUUUUAUGACUUGCGAUUGUGUGGUGCGAUUGGAUUCGUGUCAAGAUCUCAACGGCCGGAGGAAGGCAAAAAAAUCCCACCGAAAACAAGCUGAUAAAGAUGUCAUAAAAGCGGUUCUCUUGUUUGGUAGUACGGGGGUAUCGCUCUCGUGAAAUCCUCUUAAAUCAAUUGACCGCACCGGUGGGAUCAAAUUCCACGCGUGAGUAGGCGGUGCUUGCAGUGCCGAGCGGUGGCUCAACGAUCAAACGUAGUGUGCUAUUGUAUCUGUCAAACUUUUCACCUGUGUUGAACCGGAGGUGCAAAUAUCAAUCGUGGCCACAACACACCGCUAGUCAUCGCCGAAGUUUAUAAAAAGCGAACUUUAUAAAUAAUUAAUAACCUGUGGAAAACGAGACCCUCGUGUGUAAAACAUUACAAAUAUAUUCAUGUUCCAUUAUGUCUCGUUGGGGAGCAGAGGCAGUGGAAUAGCUCGUGAAGCGAAAAAGUGCAAACCACAAAGAAGGAGGAGGAACAAGCCACGACGAGCAGCGCAAGGCGAUGAGAUUUCGCCUAGUAUGUAUGUUUUACAAAUUGCUUCCUACACCCCCUCACGGUGAGUCUCCCCUGGAACGGGACACCAUAGCUGAAGAGACGCAUCAACGGUCGUCGUGUUUUUCCCCUUGGGGAUAUUAUUAGUUAAUGUGUUUAAUUUACUUGUUACUACAUUUUACUUAUCGUCAUUGUCUCGCAACUUGGGACGAUUCAGCGUCGCUUCGGUUAUGAGCACGUGCGCAUGCGAGAGGUCGAGACUACCGCCAUUACUAGCAGCGCCCGCCGCGCCAUCCGCAAGGUUCGACUAGUGCCGUUUGGCAGCGAUUAUGCGGAAACAGCUAACUGUACGAGAAUGUGGCAGCAGGAGAAUGCGCGCGAAUAGCUACUACACUGCGAUCGUAUGGGAAGCCAGAAUCGGGCGAGGAGUGUUAACUCCGUGUAGACCUUGCAUAGACAAUGGCCUCGAACACGAAAAAAGCUGGGCAUGACCGUUGCGCGAUCGGAAGAUUUAUCGCUGCUUUGGAAUGUGCAACAGCUUCGCUGACUAGUACUGAAAUUUAUGCGUUUUAAACAUUUACUUCAUCCCAUCCCAAUUGACUCCCGCGACCGGUUGAGUUAAGUGAGUUCGUUCCCUGUGUUGAAUUGUAAAUGCCACCACUGUCAAAAGCCCAUUUUGCCUAUAAAUUAAUAAAGUAAGCGUUGGGCGACCGGACUACCCUCACGACGCACAGCACUGUUGGGUCCCUUGUGCUGCAUAGAUGCAGCGAAAAGUCCAACAAAGCAAACCAUGCGAAAUAGCUACGGGACUGUAUGCUUGAGCAUCGGCUAAUUGUUUUCAGUGUAAACAAACAAAUCGUCUCUAUAAAUCAUAACCGUACAAGGCGGAAGGUGGAGCUUUGUCGGUGUAAAGUGGCGGUCGGACUGCUCUAGUGGGACAUUGAGGCAGAUGGCGAUUCUGACUCAUGUUAUAGGUGGCAUGCGUGUGAUUUUGACGAACUGUUCCCAAGCUCUUAGAUCAGUAAUUGAAACUAAAAAUUACAGUGAGUAUCAUAUUCAAGCUGUUCAAGAGGCCGUGAUCUCUUUUCGUGCUAUUUUCCGAACGCUACCA